UCUGCUAAAUUGUGAUCUGAAAUGAUGUAGUUUGUGCUGUGGUUUCUUUUUUUGGGGUUUAGCUUAGUGGGGUGUGUAUAAGCUGUUGGAAUCAAGAAGAGGGUAAUAGACAUAUUAGUGGAUUAGCUGGCUUUAAUUUGCAUUAUUUCUCCUUCUAUUGCUUCUACUCAAUAGUCAAAUUAACAUGAAUUCCCUGUCUGAUGACUGUAGCAAUGAAGUAGCUGUUACCAGCAUUUGCAUUUCUAUCAACUGCAGUAUCAAGACACAGUUUGGAAGAAACCUACAUGUACUGAGAUAGCUUAUUACAAUGAGAUACUGGCAUUCAGUUUUGGGUAUUGUGGUUUAGAGAUAUUUCCUUGCACCUCUGACUUCGUUGUAUUACGCACUUAUCAUCAUGGCAUUUGACUAUUGGUUGAUUUUCGUUCUUAUCAACAAAAUAUCCCCUUCUGUGUGCUUAAUUUUUGUUGUCUUUAAUUCCAUAAGAUGUUGUGUAGAAAUGCCUGUUUCAGGGUUGCCAGUUGCCACAUUCUGCUAAUCUAUGAGCUAAUUUAAUUUGGUGUCCUAUAGUACAAAUAAUGGAUCACCAGUAUACCACAGUUAAUAUGAAGAUAAGUUCAGCGACUUUAAUAGUUAAAAGGUCAUCUCAUUAGUUUCUUAAGAAAGAAGAGAGAUACAAGGUCAAUUUUUAUUAAGUAAUAUCAGUCUCCCUUAGGCCUUUAACAACCCGACAACAAUUAUAUGUUUAAUCAAGCAUUCCAUGAGAAUUGGAAGGACUCUUAAAGGAGAGAGACCUUAGUAAAGUAAGAAAUGGUAUUGUAAUUAAAAUUGGUUUUUAAGAGUGAAAAUUUUCAUGGGUUAAUAAGUUUGUAGUGCUUUUAUUUAAUUUUUGUAUGGGUAAGUAAUAUUAAAUUAUUAAUUUUAUUAUUAGUUAUUAUUAUGUGGUCUGUGCAUGGAACAUUAUGCAAUGCCAGCAAGGAAUCUUAGGUUAAAAAAGAUGAAAUUAGGAUAUAAUUAAGAAUUAAUUAGUGCAUUAUCCAAGGAAGACUUCAUCAAUUUUGUAUAAUUGGGGAUAAUGAAAUCAACAUCAGCAUGGGUUCAUCAUGAGCAUGUAUGUCAUCUAUUUGUUACAUAAGGGGUUCCAUGUAAUUCAACUAGUUUAGUCCUUAAGUAUGGUUGAUUAGCUUGAUUAACUAUGGUUAAUUAGUUCACGAACACAAGUCAAUACUAAAAUUAAGACAAUGAUUAAAAUAUAAAACCAUCCCAACCAUGAGUUUACUAUGAAAACUAAAUAUACUAACAGUCAUUCGUGAUAUAAUUACGCUAUAUCACGAAUGACUGUUAGUAUAUUACGCUAUAUCACGAAUGACUGUUAGUAUAAGUUCUUAUCACGAAUGACUGUUCAGAUACGUGUGUUGGAUAUUACUCCUUUGCUGCUGCAGAUUGAACUUGAACAAUACCCAACUGGCCCUCGUAUUGCUUCUUGGAUGUUAUACAGUAGUGAUGCAGAUUACUGGUUACUGUCGGAUGGUGAUGUCAGCAUUACUGAUAUGUGGAGAACAGACUAUCCUUUCACUUUUUUUUACUUACGUUUCAUUUUGUUGUAUAAAAAAUAGUUUUGUCAAGUUUCUGAAGAAAGAAACAUGAACUUUGAUUCCCUAACUCAGUGAUAGCUGGAGUUGAAUGGAAUGAAUUAGGGACCAUCCACGAAGACUAUGCUGUGGCCAAUGUUGGCACACCACAACCACAAAGCCCACCUCCAAGUGCUACAGAAGUUCUACCUAAUAACAUGAUGGGGAGGGUUAUUUUGCGGUAUUCCUGGAGAAAUUCACUCGGGUUUGAAGGUGUCAGUGAGUUGGGUGUAUCUGUUGUGAAGAAUUUUGCAUGUGGGAGAAGUUCAGGGAAUUCCACUUCUGGAGCUGAUUCUACCGAAUCUAAGGAAAAAGGGAGAGCUUAAUUGUUUGCUGAAAAGGUCAUUGUAUCCACCAAGCACAAUGAUGACGAGCAGUUCGUUUGGGAGUCUCAAGCUGGUGGUUCCUUCACUGCCACAAGGGACACUACUGGUGAACAACUUGGAAGGGGUACUAAGAUCACCCUUUUCCUCAAGGAAAAUCAGUGUUGAUAGAUUGAGAAGCAAACCAACUACAGCCACAACUUCAUCUCCCUCCUCCUCUUCUCCUGAGCUCUCCAUGUUUUGCUCUUACUCCUGUGUUGAAGCCCGCUGUUGAGGGAAAUAUAGAAAGGAGAAAUUCUCAACAUUAUUCGCCCUUCGCACUGAAGUGACUUAUGGGAUUCUACUCCUUCAUGAGAUACCAAUUGCACCUUUUUGAGUACUAAGAUGGCUAGAAGUUAAUUCAAAUUCAAGCACCCUUGUGUGAGAAACAUAGAAAUUAACUAAGAAAGAACUGAAGACUCAUGAAGCAAUAAUACAUGAUGAGGAGAGCCCAGAAAUUAAAGCACAGGGAGUUCAUCAAAAUAAUAAUGGCAAAGAAAUCAAGGGAAAUUCGCUUUGCUGUUAGAUGUGUGCCCCAAUCAAUUGAGGCUGCACUUCAAAAGGCUGUUCUAGAUAGUUCCAAUAAUGAUUGGUUAUUAUUGCAUCAGGUAUCGUGCUUAGUCAACAUCUUGUUACAUCUGUUGGUUUCUAAAAUAAGCUAUGAAGUAGAGCAUUUUAAAGUAUGGAGUUAGGACGAAUAAUCUGCUCUCUUUUUCAGUUCCUAAUUUUCAAAUAAAUCUUGGUGCUUUAUAUAACUGUACAUUAAUGAUCUACAAAUGUGAGUGCUAGCAAACCAGAGGAUUGUUGAUUCUGUUGCAACACAUUUGGAAGUUCCUACAGAACGUGUCUUGCUAAUUAGCAAAUUAUGGUAACACCAGUGCCGCAUCAACCAUCAAUCCCCUUGGCAUUGGAUGAAGCUGUUUGGAGUGGAAAAGUCCAGCCAAGAUAUAUCAUUGCAACAUCUGAAUUUGGUGCUGGUCUUACAUGGGGUUCUUCCAUUAUUAGAUGGGGAUAAAAAAGAAAAGAUUUUGUGAAAUCAUCCUCCUGUUUGCAAUAUCUUCUUAUUGUUGGUGAAAGAGGAGGGCGUUAGAGGAAGUGUUGUCGGUUCAUUCUUGAAGAAUCUCACUUCCCCUGGUUACAGAUGAUUCAGGAGCAACACCUCUCAUAAUUCACUGAAGCUCCAUCAGAGUGGCCCCUUCACGUGUUAUAUCUUUCCCUUUAUUGCCAGAAUAAGUUUUAUUUAUUCAAAUCAGGUGAAUUUAUUCAUACCUAGGAAAAAAAAACCUUCAAGUUGUUAUUCAUAUUUUUUUUGCAGUGAGAUCAGUACACAGAGCUAUGAAUCUUUUCAGAUGAGUGAUUCAAACAGCUUCUCUAGGCUUGUUCCUCCUGUCUGCUAGACCGUUUAUGUUGAACUGUGUUGUUAGUACAUUCAUCUUUCUUGAUAUAUUGAAGAAGUUAUCGCCAUUUCAGAUUUA